rnacentral:rRNA from 1 species
UACGGGGGGAGCAAGCGUUGUUCGGAUUUACUGGGCGUAAAGGGCGCGUAGGCGGCGUGACAAGUCACUUGUGAAAUCUCCGGGCUUAACCCGGAACGGUCAAGUGAUACUGUCGUGCUAGAGUACAGAAGGGGCAACUGGAAUUCUCGGUGUAGCGGUGAAAUGCGUAGAUAUCGAGAGGAACACCUGCGGCGAAGGCGGCAUCCUGGACCGGUAUUGACGCUGAGGCGCGAAAGCCAGGGGAGCAAACGGG